rfam:Schistosoma curassoni strain Dakar, Senegal genome assembly, scaffold: SCTD_contig0000908
AUCUAACUGACGAGUCCCAAAUAGGACGAAACGCGCUUCCUGGAU